rnacentral:snRNA from 1 species
GAAUGCGAGGUGGAUCUGGUUGGGAUAUCUCUCACUCCACUGAUCAGCAGCGUGGAGUCAGCUGAUCUGAUGGCUAAACAGGUGUCCCCCUGCUCUCCCUCAUCACUCUGCGUGCAGAUGUCCCUCCUGAAGCCAUUUGCUGGCUUGAAGAAUGACCGUUGAAUGAAGAGGACUACUCUUCAAUCCAGAGGGGGCUCUGCUCCCCUUCCAGAAUCUCCCAGGAAGCUUUCAAGGUCCCUCAGUCAGAGAAAGGGACCUUUACCCCAUGCAUGCAAAUGAGGUGCUGCAUCUGGCAGUCUGUCUUUUUUU